AGAGUUUGAUCCUGGCUCAGGAUGAACGCUAGCUACAGGCUUAACACAUGCAAGUCGAGGGGCAUCAGGGUGUAGCAAUACACCGCUGGCGACCGGCGCACGGGUGAGUAACACGUAUCCAACCUGCCCUUUACUCGGGGAUAGCCUUUCGAAAGAAAGAUUAAUACCCGAUGGUAUAACAUGACCUCCUGGUUUUGUUAUUAAAGAAUUUCGGUAGAGGAUGGGGAUGCGUUCCAUUAGGCAGUUGGCGGGGUAACGGCCCACCAAACCUUCGAUGGAUAGGGGUUCUGAGAGGAAGGUCCCCCACAUUGGAACUGAGACACGGUCCAAACUCCUACGGGAGGCAGCAGUGAGGAAUAUUGGUCAAUGGGCGAGAGCCUGAACCAGCCAAGUAGCGUGAAGGAUGACUGCCCUAUGGGUUGUAAACUUCUUUUAUAUGGGAAUAAAGUUUUCCACGUGUGGAAUUUUGUAUGUACCAUAUGAAUAAGGAUCGGCUAACUCCGUGCCAGCAGCCGCGGUAAUACGGAGGAUCCGAGCGUUAUCCGGAUUUAUUGGGUUUAAAGGGAGCGUAGGUGGACAUGUAAGUCAGUUGUGAAAGUUUGCGGCUCAACCGUAAAAUUGCAGUUGAAACUGCGUGUCUUGAGUACAGUAGAGGUGGGCGGAAUUCGUGGUGUAGCGGUGAAAUGCUUAGAUAUCACGAAGAACUCCGAUUGCGAAGGCAGCUCACUGGACUGCAACUGACACUGAUGCUCGAAAGUGUGGGUAUCAAACAGGAUUAGAUACCCUGGUAGUCCACACAGUAAACGAUGAAUACUCGCUGUUUGCGAUAUACAGUAAGCGGCCAAGCGAAAGCAUUAAGUAUUCCACCUGGGGAGUACGCCGGCAACGGUGAAACUCAAAGGAAUUGACGGGGGCCCGCACAAGCGGAGGAACAUGUGGUUUAAUUCGAUGAUACGCGAGGAACCUUACCCGGGCUUAAAUUGCAAAGGAAUAAUCUGGAAACAGGUUAGUCUUCGGACCUUUGUGAAGGUGCUGCAUGGUUGUCGUCAGCUCGUGCCGUGAGGUGUCGGCUUAAGUGCCAUAACGAGCGCAACCCUUAUCUUUAGUUACUAACAGGUCAUGCUGAGGACUCUAGAGAGACUGCCGUCGUAAGAUGUGAGGAAGGUGGGGAUGACGUCAAAUCAGCACGGCCCUUACGUCC
rnacentral:rRNA from 1 species